GGGGCCGAGCUGCUGCGGCGGCGGCGGCCGGAGGGGGAGGCCCGGGCCGCCUCCUGGGCAGCCGCUUCGCCGCCGUCCGGAGCGGGAGGCGGUGGCGCAGUACGGCAGUAGAUGGAGGUGCUAGUGAGCCGGGCGCUGUUCCCCCUUUAUUUCUUCGGGGGUUUUGGCUCCUUCCCGGCGCUGGCCGCUGCGAGGACCGCUGAGGGGAAUCCCUGCGGCCCCUCAGCCAGCACCUGCUCCCGCUGGCUGCGCUUCGGAAAGGUUUUUGUUCAAAAAUAAGGGAAGUUUGGAAUGGGGCAUGUCCCGGGAGAGCGUGCUGACAGGGGCCUGGGAGGGUACGUAGCAAGUCGUCUGUUGAGCAAGAGCCACCACAGUGCUCAGGUUAGCAGAAGAAGCGAGCUUAAAAGCUGGAAUCACUUGUGGGCCUCGUUUGAUGAAGAUCAGUCAAUAGCCAGGAUGAAUAUGGCUGAAUGUUCAUCUCGGUGA
ensembl:lncRNA